rnacentral:rRNA from 1 species
AUGUUCUUGUGGACAUUGGGAGGUUGUGAAUCAAAUAGAAGAACUCAAAAUCGCUUCAAACAUUCAGCGGAUACUAUCCAUCGUAAAUUCCAUGAGGUUCUACAAUGUGUAGUGAACCUGGCAUCUCACUACCUUAAGCCACAAGACCCAAACUUCCACAUUGUGCAUGAUCUAAUUAAAAAGGAUAGGGGGGCUUAUCCUCAUCUCAAAGAUUGCAUUGGUGCAAUUGAUGGGACUCAUAUAAGAGCUUCUAUUCCCGAUGGGCCACCAAAAGUUAGGUACAUUGGGAGGACGGGCAUGACAACUCAGAAUGUGAUGGCGGUAUGUGACUUCGAUAUGCACUUUACUUAUGCUUCAAUUGGGCAACCUGGUUCUAUGCAUGAUACAAAUGUAUUAUACCAUGCAAUUGAGAAGGACAGGCCCUCCUUCCCCCAUCCUCCAAAGGGUGAGCAUUUCUUUUCGUUACAAGUUUACACAUGA